CCUAUGGGGGGCAGCAGUGAGGAAUAUUGGUCAAUGGACGCAAGUCUGAACCAGCCAUGCCGCGUGCAGGAAGACGGCUCUAUGAGUUGUAAAUUGCUUUUGUACGAGGGGAAACGCAGAUAUGCGUAUCUGUCUGAAAGUAUCGUACGAAUAAGGAACGGCUAACACCGCGCCAGCAGCCGCGGCAAUACGGAGGAUUCAAGCGUUACCUGGAUUUAUUGGGGUUAAAGGGUGAGUAGGCUGUGAGGUAAGUCAGCGGGGAAAUGCCCCCGCUCAACGGGGUGAAGUGCCAUUGAUACUGGCUAGCUAGAGUGCGGAUGCGGUGGGAGGAAUGUGAGGUGUAGCGGUGAAAUGCAUAGAGAU
rnacentral:rRNA from 1 species